CCCGUUCAGAGGUUUUUUUGAAUUGCUCAGAGCGAACGCUGGCGGCAGGCCUAACACAUGCAAGUCGAACGAACUCUUCGGAGUUAGUGGCGGACGGGUGAGUAACACGUGGGAACGUGCCUUUAGGUUCGGAAUAACUCAGGGAAACUUGUGCUAAUACCGAAUGUGCCCUUCGGGGGAAAGAUUUAUCGCCUUUAGAGCGGCCCGCGUCUGAUUAGCUAGUUGGUGAGGUAAAGGCUCACCAAGGCGACGAUCAGUAGCUGGUCUGAGAGGAUGAUCAGCCACAUUGGGACUGAGACACGGCCCAAACUCCUACGGGAGGCAGCAGUGGGGAAUCUUGCGCAAUGGGCGAAAGCCUGACGCAGCCAUGCCGCGUGAAUGAUGAAGGUCUUAGGAUUGUAAAAUUCUUUCACCGGGGACGAUAAUGACGGUACCCGGAGAAGAAGCCCCGGCUAACUUCGUGCCAGCAGCCGCGGUAAUACGAAGGGGGCUAGCGUUGCUCGGAAUUACUGGGCGUAAAGGGAGCGUAGGCGGACAUUUAAGUCAGGGGUGAAAUCCCGGGGCUCAACCUCGGAAUUGCCUUUGAUACUGGGUGUCUUGAGUAUGAGAGAGGUGUGUGGAACUCCGAGUGUAGAGGUGAAAUUCGUAGAUAUUCGGAAGAACACCAGUGGCGAAGGCGACACACUGGCUCAUUACUGACGCUGAGGCUCGAAAGCGUGGGGAGCAAACAGGAUUAGAUACCCUGGUAGUCCACGCCGUAAACGAUGAUUGCUAGUUGUCGGGAUGCAUGCAUUUCGGUGACGCAGCUAACGCAUUAAGCAAUCCGCCUGGGAGACUUUCCUGC
rnacentral:rRNA from 1 species